rnacentral:rRNA from 1 species
GGUCGGGAGUUAANUCCGGGGGCUCAACCCCCGCUCGCUCUCGAUACCAGCAGACUUGAGUUUGGUAGGGGAAGGUGGAAUUCCUAGUGUAGCGGUGGAAUGCGCAGAUAUUAGGAAGAACACCAGUGGCGAAGGCGGCCUUNUGGGCCAUAACUGACGCUGAGGAGCGAAAGCUAGGGGAGCAAACAGGAUUAGAUACCCUGGUAGUCCUAGCCGUAAACGAUGGACACUAGGUGUGGGGGAGUAUUUCUUCCGUGCCGCAGCCAACGCAUUAAGUGUCCCGCCUGGGGAGUACGGCCGCAAGGCUAAACUCAAAGGAAUUGACGGGGGCCCGCACAAGCAGCGGAGCAUGUGGUUUAAUUCGAAGCAACGCGAAGAACCUUACCAGGGCUUGACAUUUAGGUGAAGCGGCGGAAACGUCGUGGCCGAAAGGAGCCUAAACAGGUGGUGCAUGGCUGUCGUCAGCUCGUGUCGUGAGAUGUUAGGUUAAGUCCUGCAACGAGCGCAACCCUCGUCGUAUGUUGCCAGCGGUUAGGCCGGGCACCCAUACGAGACCGCCGGCGUCAAGCCGGAGGAAGGUGGGGACGACGUCAAGUCAUCAUGCCCCUUAUGUCCUGGGCUACACACGUGCUACAAUGGCCGGCACAAUGGGCUGCCAACCCGCGAGGGUGAGCGAAUCCCUAAAGCCGGUCCCAGUUCGGAUUGGAGGCUGCAACCCGCCUCCAUGAAGUCGUAGUUGCUAGUAAUCGCGGAUCAGCACGCCGCGGUGAAUGCGUUCCCGGGCCUUGUACACACCGCCCGUCACACCACCCGAGUCGAUUGCACCCGAAGUCGUCGACCUAACCUUUUAGGAGGGAGA